AGUUCACUCUCUCUUCUCCUUUUCCCCAAAAAUGAAAUGUAACCCUUGUUCUCUCUAAAAAAAAGUCUUUCUUCCGUCUUCCCUCUUCUCUAGAAAGCCAAUACCGGCAUGCUCAACUCGCCGUCUCUUUCUGUAUCUCUUACCUCCUUGUAGUUUUGCUGUCGGCAGUUCCACAAUCCGCAAUCUACAGUUUCGUAAUCGGCGAAUUUCAAGGCUUCAGAUGCAGAAAGUGAGCCUUCAUCAUCAUAUGCCAUAAGAAGAUCAUCAAAUGAAAGCAAUACACAUGAUGCAAAUCACCAAAGUCCUUCAAAUGACACAUGAUUUAUUAUUGAAAGUUUUAUGUUAUAAAACUUGUUUAUUUUGAGAAUAGCUUAAGAUAAUGACACAAUUGUUGAUCAUUUUUAUGAUUUAGUAUUAUUAAACAAGCUUGUGAUAUGUAUAUCAAGCAAGUUAGACCAAUUAUCAAUUUUGAAGAGGUUGAACAAUUGCAAUGACCUA